GAUGAACGCUGGCGGCGUGCCUAAUACAUGCAAGUCGAGCGAACAGACGAGGAGCUUGCUCCUCUGACGUUAGCGGCGGACGGGUGAGUAACACGUGGAUAACCUACCUAUAAGACUGGGAUAACUUCGGGAAACCGGAGCUAAUACCGGAUAAUAUAUUGAACCGCAUGGUUCAAUAGUGAAAGACGGUUUUGCUGUCACUUAUAGAUGGAUCCGCGCCGCAUUAGCUAGUUGGUAAGGUAACGGCUUACCAAGGCGACGAUGCGUAGCCGACCUGAGAGGGUGAUCGGCCACACUGGAACUGAGACACGGUCCAGACUCCUACGGGAGGCAGCAGUAGGGAAUCUUCCGCAAAGGGCGAAAGCCUGACGGAGCAACGCCGCGUGAGUGAUGAAGGUCUUCGGAUCGUAAAACUCUGUUAUUAGGGAAGAACAUAUGUGUAAGUAACUAUGCACGUCUUGACGGUACCUAAUCAGAAAGCCACGGCUAACUACGUG
rnacentral:rRNA from 1 species